GUUCAUUUCUUAGAGGAGACUUGGGAACUGGAGGAGGUCGCUAACCUACAGGAUGCAGGGAGUAUAUCAGUCGCGGCCCUCCUUUCCUCCUCCCAGUCUGAGUUCCCACUCCCAUGAAGAGUGAGCUAUGGGAAAUGAUACAUGCUUUCUCCCUCUAGAAUGGUGCUGUUUCCUGUCCUGUGAUUGUCUGCAAGCCUUAGUCCUUGCCCUUCAUCUCUACUUGUGUAUGAAAAAUGCUGCUUCUGCAGAUUAUUUAACUAUUCCCCGGGGCCUGUGAUCUAUCCAGAGUCAUCUUUUAUCCUCACAACUUCUAGUUUAUCUAUCUUACUGUGAGAACUCUCUAAACAGUGUUCUACCCUUCCUGGCCUUCGACAGUAUAGAAGACCAGCACUCAAAUACCUGAGGCAAUGGAAGAAAGCUGAAAAUGUAAAAAGUCUCCAAGGAAGGGUAAGAAAAUUACUUGGACAAAGGAAUGUGAGGAACCCAUUUCCAACUUUAAUAACUAAUUAUUAAGUCA